AUUGAACGCUGGCGGCAGGCCUAACACAUGCAAGUCGGACGGUAGCACAGAGGAGCUUGCUCCUCGGGUGACGAGUGGCGGACGGGUGAGUAAUGUCUGGGGAUCUGCCCGAUAGAGGGGGAUAACUACUGGAAACGGUAGCUAAUACCGCAUAACGACGCAAGACCAAAGUGGGGGACCUUCGGGUCUCACACCAUCGGAUGUGCCCAGAUGGGAUUAGCUAGUAGGUGGGGUAAUGGCUCACCUAGGCGACGAUCCCUAGCUGGUCUGAGAGGAUGACCAGCCACACUGGAACUGAGACACGGUCCAGACUCCUACGGGAGGCAGCAGUGGGGAAUAUUGCACAAUGGGCGCAAGCCUGAUGCAGCCAUGCCGCGUGUAUGAAGAAGGCCUUCGGGUUGUAAAGUACUUUCAGCGGGGAGGAAGGCGGUGAAGUUAAUAGCUUCACCGAUUGACGUUACCCGCAGAAGAAGCACCGGCUAACUCCGUGCCAGCAGCCGCAGUAA
rnacentral:rRNA from 1 species